CCAAUCACCACGAUGCCCGGCAUCAGAACAUUCCAGACAGUCCCGUGAUUGGCAGAUAGCAGGUUGAUUGACAUGUCGGACCCCGCGAACACAACCACCUACUAGCCUAACACAUAACACACAGCUGUCUGUGCGGGUCGCUACACUACUAUUUGUCUUGGAAACGUAGCUAGCUACUGUACCCGUACCAGCAACUGAUAAAAACUAUUUUCACACGACUUCGAUACGGAAGUGACUUUUUCGUGACAGGUUGGGAGAAUUAACGUUGCAUGUUAGGGGACUGAGGUUAAUACGGUUAGGAAAGAGGUUUGCGAAAAUGCUCUCCAACCAUCGAAGUGGCGUAAAAAGUGUGUCCCCACGUCCCUUUGCAACGAAAGCUAGCGUUUCUAUUUGAGAGAUUCAGGCUGCUAUCAAGGGGAAACUUCAAGAACUUGAUGCCUAUGUUGGUCUCCCCAAGAUGAAGAGCUACCAGACUAUAUCAUGGUGAUGGUGGCCAACAAGAAGACUUCACAGCAGAUGUCUGACGACCUGGCCCUAUUCCUUGGAAACAAUACCAUCAAGUUUAUUGUCUGGUAUGUAGCUAACCAGCUAGGUCUGGUCCCAGAUCUGUUUGUACUAUUUUGCCAAAUUCUAAGGUAAUUGAAUUGCUGUUUGGCAAGAUGGCACAAACAGAUCUGGGGCCAGGUUAUAGCUAGUUAGGUGUAAACGCUUCUUGUUGUCAUUAACAGGUUACACGGAGUCCUGGAGAAACGGGGGUCUGUGGCAGUAGGUCAAUUCAGGUUACACCAAAGGAGUCUGUGCUUUCACUGAAAAGUAAUACUGUAGCGGCUGAUACAAAAAGAACCCGAGAUGAUUAUGUAACAGACUUCAAGGCCAGGGUUGUUAUAAUACUGUAAUAUAAAGUAAUCUUGGGUGUUGAGUGUCUACUCUUUACUGUUCUUGAAUAGAGACAAUGCAUUUUUAAACAAAUGCUAUAUCUGUUGACAUGUGUUAUCUGUCCAUGUGUAACUAUAUUGACAAUCUCUCUCUCCGUGUGUAUAUCUAGAACCAGAGUCGACGAGGUCUCCGCUCUACUCUGAAGCUGGCAUCUCAGCUGCGUAGAGCCAGAGGAAGGGUGGGGGGGGGGGGGGGUCAAAGGGGCUUGUGGUGUCCAGUUCGCUCUCUGAUAGGACGGAGGCCCUCGUGUCCAGCUCCACCCAUGAGCACAGGUAAGUGUUGAUUUUUUUGAGACAUGGAUUAAAUGUUGAAAAUAUCACUGUUCUACUUGGCUUUGAUAAUGUGGAAGAGCCCUAACACUCACUCAUAAGACCUCUGAAGACCUACAUGUCGUUCAAGAGCUUCAGCAUUUUAUCGUAAGCAAACAGCCCAGCAGGUCGGCAGACGCCUACAGGUCGUCAGAGGGAUCCUCGGGGUCUCACAGCAGGCAUCAGCACGGCAGCUAUCACAUGGAUAGUAGGAGCAGCAGAGACUGCAGGGCAUACAGAGUCAGAGGCAGCAGCAGGCACAGUGGGAAACGAGGAAGCGUAAGGCCCCAGUUGUGAGCUCCGUGGUGCGGGUGAACCAGGCGGCUGACGAGGGUCCAGACAGUGACGACGAGCUGGAGGAGGAGGAUGACGAGGAGGAUGAAGGAUACGGCGUCAAGAGCAUGUCCAGCAGAGUGUCCAUGCUUUCCAAACCAGAACGCAGAUAGACUACAAGAGACGAGCAGCCGAGACUGACUGAAUCCAGAUGAUGUGAACCUAUUGAAGAUGUGAUGAUGCUAUUCAGUUAUUUUUUUAUUCUCUUAUGGUUUAAUUAUCAACGAUCUGGUCAGUCUUUUUAUUUGCUUCUAUUUAAUUUUUAUGUGAAAUUAACAGAUUUUUUUUUUAACCGGACAACUUACAGGGUUUUAUAAAGUGGUGGUACGGCACAUUUUUUUAUAUUACUGAAAGUAUAUUAAAGUUCUCCACAUGUCAA